AGGGUGAAGGGGUUGCAAUAAACUGGUGGCUGCGACUGUUUAAUAAAAACACAGCACUCUGCAAACACGAAAGUGGACGUAUAGGGUGUGACGCCUGCCCGGUGCCGGAAGAUUAAAUGAUGGGGUGCAAGCUCUUGAUUGAAGUCCCGGUAAACGGCGGCCGUAACUAUAACGGUCCUAAGGUAGCGAAAUUCCUUGUCGGGUAAGUUCCGACCUGCACGAAUGGCGUAACGAUGGCCACACUGUCUCCUCCCGAGACUCAGCGAAGUUGAAGUGUUUGUGAUGAUGCAAUCUACCCGCGGCUAGACGGAAAGACCCCAUGAACCUUUACUGUAGCUUUGCAUUGGACUUUGAACCGAUCUGUGUAGGAUAGGUGGGAGGCUAUGAAACCGGAACGCUAGUUUCGGUGGAGCCGUCCUUGAAAUACCACCCUGGUUUGUUUGAGGUUCUAACCUUGGCCCGUGAUCCGGGUCGGGGACAGUGCAUGGUAGGCAGUUUGACUGGGGCGGUCUCCUCCCAAAGCGUAACGGAGGAGUACGAAGGUACGCUAGGUACGGUCGGAAAUCGUGCUGAUAGUGCAAUGGCAUAAGCGUGCUUAACUGCGAGACCGACAAGUCGAGCAGGUGCGAAAGCAGGUCAUAGUGAUCCGGUGGUUCUGUAUGGAAGGGCCAUCGCUCAACGGAUAAAAGGUACUCUGGGGAUAACAGGCUGAUACCGCCCAAGAGUUCAUAUCGACGGCGGUGUUUGGCACCUCGAUGUCGGCUCAUCUCAUCCUGGGGCUGUAGCCGGUCCCAAGGGUAUGGCUGUUCGCCAUUUAAAGAGGUACGUGAGCUGGGUUUAAAACGUCGUGAGACAGUUUGGUCCCUAUCUGCCGUGGGCGUUGGAUAUUUGAAGGGGGCUGCUCCUAGUACGAGAGGACCGGAGUGGACGAACCUCUGGUGUACCGGUUGUCACGCCAGUGGCAUCGCCGGGUAGCUAUGUUCGGAAGAGAUAACCGCUGAAAGCAUCUAAGCGGGAAACUCGCCUUAAGAUGAGAUAUCCCUGG
rnacentral:rRNA from 1 species